CAGUUCUGUUCCAGAAUGAAUAGUUUGCUGCUAUCAUGUCCACAUAAUUUUUCAUGUACUCAAUAAGGUUUGUACGACUAUGUGACUUGCGUACAUAGAGUGUUAAUUCUAGAAGCCGUGAACUAUAAGGAAUGUAAAAUAAAUGAGCUUCUCUAGGGUCUUUUGUGACAAAUUUUUUGUUAGUUUCCAUAAGCUUCAUAAACCAUCCUUCUGAUGCAUAUAUUCCUUC
rnacentral:misc_RNA from 1 species